CACAUAUUAUCAAAUUAAUUGAUCACAAGUAAUUUCUUGAUUACUUUUUAGAUCACUUUUUUAAAUUACAUAUUAUUUAUUGGUCACAAAUUAAAAAAAUUAUUGGUUACAAACUCCCCCAUUCUAUCUCCACCCAUGAACACCAUAACUAGACACACAAAAUCACCACCACACAUCACAGCAACUCAAAACCACUAGUCAUUGCUUUUAUUUCAUACAGUUUGUUACAUUUGUUUUAUAAUUUUUCAUCAAAUCCACCCAACUGCUUCAUUUCACUUUGCACUUCCUUUGAUGAUAGAGCGAUGAUAAGAACAAUUGAUUGAAUGACGAUGAGCACAAUCGUCGACCACAGUCGCAGCAGCGAUGGGGCACAUACCACAAUCAUAUCUUUGUGCACAACGAUGAUCUGCUCCUCAUCGUUGCUAUGUCAUGUGCGAUUGUGGGUUUGGGAAUAUUUGUGGAAGUGAUAGCAUCAACGAAUGUAGUGGCCAUGAUUGCGGGUUUGGGAAUUUUUUGGUGGUUGAGUGUGGCGCUGUGCAAGAUGGUGCAAGCGACGGUGGUGACUAUGCUUUUCGACAACGGGUAGAGAGAGGAGAGAAGGUCGAAUAGAAAGAGGAGAGAAAAAUUCAGAGGAUGAAAAUGAUUAGGGUUUCGUUGUGGGUGGUUGGGUAUGAGUUAUGUGAAAUUGUUCCAAAGAACCCAUCUUCCCUUGUCUUCCUCUUCCACUUCCCACUGAAGUUUUACUUUGUUGUCAUGGGCUGAGAAGUCACAACGCAUAUACGAGCAUGCUUGCAAAUGUCUGCCAUUAACCAGUUUCGUCCUCAACAGGUCGACUACCUUCACAAGAUCCCUAAUUUCAUUCAUCAAAUCCUUAAAACACUGCUGUAACUGCUCCCAGCUCCCUCGAUCAAUAACUGGAAAACACAUUUGUUUUACAAAUGAAAUAAUUCAACGUCAGAAGACAAGAAAAUUAUACAAAAAAUUUAAACAAG
rnacentral:lncRNA from 1 species